UGCCAGACUCCUACGGGAGGCAGCAGUGGGGAAUAUUGCACAAUGGGGGAAACCCUGAUGCAGCAACGCCGCGUGAGUGAAGAAGUAUUUCGGUAUGUAAAGCUCUAUCAGCAGGGAAGAAGAUGACGGUACCUGAGUAAGAAGCCCCGGCGAACUACGUGCCAGCAGCCGCGGUAAUACGUAGGGGGCAAGCGUUAUCCGGAUUUACUGGGUGUAAAGGGAGCGUAGACGGUGAGACAAGUCUGAAGUGAAAGCCCGGGGCUCAACCCCGGGACUGCUUUGGAAACUGCCUGACUGGAGUGCUGGAGAGGCAAGCGGAAUUCCUAGUGUAGCGGUGAAAUGCGUAGAUAUUAGGAAGAACACCAGUGGCGAAGGCGGCUUGCUGGACAGUAACUGACGUUGAGGCUCGAAAGCGUGGGUAGCAAACAGGAUUAGAUACCCGGGUA
rnacentral:rRNA from 1 species